UACGUAGGGUGCGAGCGUUGUCCGGAAUUAUUGGGCGUAAAGAGCUCGUAGGCGGUGUGUCGCGUCGGCCGUGAAAACCUGGGGCUUAACUCUGGGCGUGCGGUCGAUACGGGCAUCACUAGAGUUCGGCAGGGGAGACUGGAAUUCCUGGUGUAGCGGUGAAAUGCGCAGAUAUCAGGAGGAACACCGGUGGCGAAGGCGGCACUCUGGGACGGUACUGACGCUGAGACGCGAAACGUGGGGGAGC
rnacentral:rRNA from 1 species